UAGUCUAGUGGUUAAGGCUAUGGAUCGCCAAUCCGGAGACGGCGGGUUCAAUUCCCGU
rfam:Aedes albopictus isolate Foshan contig45968, whole genome shotgun sequence.